CCUACGGGAGGCAGCAGUGGGGAAUAUUGGGCAAUGGGCGCAAGCCUGACCCAGCAACGCCGCGUGAAGGAAGACGGCUUUCGGGUUGUAAACUUCUUUUGUCAGGGACGAAGCAAGUGACGGUACCUGACGAUUAAGCCACGGCUAACUACGUGCCAGCAGCCGCGGUAAUACGUAGGUGGCAAGCGUUAUCCGGAUUUACGGGGUGUAAAGGGUGUGUAGGCGGGACUGGAAGUCAGAUGUGAAAUCAAGGGGCUCAACCUGUGACCUGCAUUUGAAACUGGAGUUCUUGAGUACAGGGGAGGCAGACGGAAUUCCUAGUGUAGCGGUGAAAUGCGUAGAUAUCAGGAGGAACACCAGUGGCGAAGGCAGUCUGCUAGACAGCAACUGACGCUGAGGCGCGAAAGCGUGGGGAGCAAACAGGAUUAGAUACCCUUGUAGUC
rnacentral:rRNA from 1 species